AACGAACGUUGGCGGCGUGGAUUAGGCAUGCAAGUCGAACGCGAAUCCCUGGGCAACUGGGGAGGAGAGUGGCGAAAGGGGCAGUAAGGCGUGGGUAACCUACCCUCCGGGCCGGGAUAGCUUCGGGAAACUGAAGGUAAUACCGGGCGACGCAGCGAGAUCGCAUGGUCUUGCUGCCAAAGGUCCGCCGCCGGGGGAGGGGCUCACGUGGUAUUAGCUAGACGGCGGGGUAACGGCCCACCGUGGCAAAGAUGCCUAGCAGGUGUGAGAGCACGACCUGCGCCACUGGCACUGAGACACUGGCCAGACACCUACGGGUGGCUGCAGUCGAGGAUCUUAGGCAAUGGGCGCAAGCCUGACCGAGCGACGCCGCGUGUGCGAUGAAGGCCUUCGGGUUGUAAAGCACUGUCGAGGGGGAGGAAGCCGCAAGGUUGACCUAUCCCUGGAGGAAGCACGGGCUAAGUUCGUG
rnacentral:rRNA from 1 species